rnacentral:rRNA from 1 species
AUCGAACGCUGGCGGCAGGCCUAACACAUGCAAGUCGAGCGGAUGAAGGGAGCUUGCUCCUGGAUUCAGCGGCGGACGGGUGAGUAAUGCGUAGGUAACUGCCUGGUAGUUGUGGAUAAAGUCCGGAAAAGGGCGCUAAUACCGCAUACGUCCCGACGGCGGCAGUGGGGGGUCUUCGGACCUCACGCGAUCAGAUGAGCAUAGGUCGGAUUUGCUAGUUGGCGGGGUAAAGGCCUACCAAGGCGACGAUCCGUAACUGGUCUGAGAGGAGGAUCAGUCACAGUGGAACUGAGACACGGUCCAGACUCCUACGGGAGGCAGCAGUGGGGAAGAUUGGACAAUGGGCGGAAGCCUGAUCCAGCCGUGCCGCGUGUGUGAAGAAGGUCUUCGGAUUGUAAAGCGCUUUUAGUUGGGAGGAAGGGCAGUAAGUUAGUACCUUGCUGUUUUGACGUUAGCAGCAGAAUAAGCACCGGCUAACUUCGUG